GGAGGGGUGCGAGAGCGGCCGAAUCGGACGGUCUCGAAAACCGUUGUGUCCUUUGGGCACCGUGGGUUCAAAUCCCACCCCCUCCGCCA
rnacentral:tRNA from 1 species